rnacentral:ncRNA from 1 species
GGAGAGUCUUAGAAUCCCCAGGAUGUUCGUGUAAAUAGCGACCGUCUUUGGCCGGACGGCGUGGUUUGUGAAUC